rnacentral:rRNA from 1 species
UACAGAGGGUGCGAGCGUUGUCCGGAAUCACUGGGCGUAAAGGGCGCGUAGGUGGUUCUGUAUGUCUGCCGUGAAAGCGUACGGCUCAACCGUAUUUUGUCGGUAGAAACUGCAGGACUUGAGGCUGGGAGGGGCUGGUGGAAUUCCCUGUGUAGCGGUGAAAUGCGUAGAGAUGGGGGAGAACACUCGUGGCGAAGGCGGCCAGCUAGACCAGUUCUGACACUGAGGCGCGACAGCGUGGGGAGCAAACAGG